CUGAAAACAUCCUUUGAGAGCGGAAGACAUGUAGCCAGUGUUUGAUGGGAAGUGGGUAGGAAUUUUGUAAACAAGGAACAUGUGCUAUGAAGGUGCUCCUAGACUGUUAUUUUUUAAGAGGAGCCACAUACAGAAUUUGGUUUAUAUACACAGGGCUUUAUCACUUUUCUCUGGAAUUUAGGCCAUCUCCUCUCUCUCCCCUCUUCCAUUUUAGGAGAAAUAUUUUGGUAAUGGGGAAUUGUCACACUAUUGGCUGCCUAGCAAUACAACUAGACCAUCAAAAUCAAUCUUUCAAAGGAAAUCACAAAACAGGAUAGAUUUCACCACAGAAAUGCCACUCUACAUAAUUUUGUGAGAGUAAUUGCCACAGGAGCUAUCAGGAAUAGCUCAUACCAAGCUGGAUGAGACCUGCCGGGAAUCUUCAUUCUGACUGUGCUGGGGAUACAGAAAACACUGAAAUCAGCCACACUCGAAUGCUUCGUGUUCUGGGAAAGGGGCUGGACCAGCAGAAAUGAGUGGUGCCAUAAGAGGGGGCUUCAAAUUCUGGAAAAGAGUACAGUGGACUUCAGAGGACACUUCCUAGAGGAGGGACACCUGAAAUCCAGGAACUCCUGUUUUCUCACUAACACAGAUCACCGUCAUGCUUCUCCAGGAUUUCUACCUCCCUCUCAACCUCUGCUGGCUUCUGUUUGGGUGGAUCAUAUGGGAAAGUAUGUAAUGGAAAAGGAGCCUGGGAAAAGGGAUUAGAGGCUGGAUAUGGAAAGUGACAUGGACACAGGAGCAGGCUUUUUCCCAUAAAGGAGCAGGUCCCCACUGGAGCUCAUGGGAAGGUGAACCUUAGCAGCUUCUUCCGCCCCAUCUCUCCACACGCUAUGCCUUCCCCUUCUUCAAAGAGGACAGAUAGCUGGAAUCACUGGGCUUGGAGGGAUUACAGGUGGCAAGAGGUGAGCACACCAGGUACCAGAAAUGCAAACAUUCUACCAGAACAAAGCACCGAGGAAACCUUGUCAAACACUCACAGACAACCAAGGGUUCUGCUGCACAAAGAACAUGUACCAAACACUCAGAGUCAAAAGGCCCGUGUGAUUCAAGCCAGUGUGUACAAAGCCUUUAAAAACAUUCCACUGGCAGUCCUCGUAAGUACUGGAAACACCACACACUCUGACUUUUAUUUGUAAUCAAAGACCUGGAAGCCUUCCUGGGGGGCACAAUGAGGAGUUCAAAGGAGUCCGUACCUUGAGUAACUUGUGAGUAAAUGCUGGCAUGCCCAGGCUGGACUUGUGCUACUGGGAGAACCAGACAAGCUAAUGGGAAGGAAGGGGUACACUGUCCUCAUGAAGGACGAGCAGCAUUAAUGCCCUGGACAUGAAGAGAUUCUUUUUCCCUCCACAUACGUUGUUGAGCUCCUCCAGCAGCCUGGUUCUUGCCUACCUGCCAGUUGGGAGCUUUGAAGCACGGAUAUCAACAAUUUAUUCCUACACUUUUAGGACUAACGUUUAGAAGUAGAAAAUAGAAACAUCCUGAAAGGUGAAAUGCAGUACAGAGGAAACAAACAUUUAUGUGGGAUCUACGCCAACUGGGCACCCAAACGGGCGUUGUAGAGUAUAUGCGUCACUGCUUGUUUAAGGGAGGAGAGGACAACUGUCGCUUCUACCUCUCAAACAGGCACUUGUAGUUAUGCCUGUGGUUUCUUUUGCAAUUCAGUUUUCUCGUAAACUCGGAAGGCGUCUGCAGUAUUUUUCUUUCAGUAAAUUUGAUAUCCAGGGUACACUGAAUACUCUACUAACACUUUACAGCCUACCUUACUCAAUGGCUUCCCUGCCUUCAUUCCUCUCCCGGCUUCUCUCAAUUUAAUUGGAGCUAACUUGAAUGCUCCUGUGCCAGAGCAAUGACACAUUGCAUUUGUGUCCCCACCCCUGAGGUAAAGAACUGAAUCCUAACAAAGGUCAUGAGAAGACUUUGCACAACUAAUUAUUCAUACUGGCUGAAGUACUGAUUCACAGAGAGGACUUAUGGGCCAAGGAUCCUUUUCACUGGCUUUGGAGCAUGCCCAGAUAAUCCAAGAUGAUGUCAUCCCAUGACACUUAGACCUCAAGUUACAUCCACACAGAGGCAAAGAAAGUCAUAUUAAUAGAUUCUGGGGGGAAGAAUACAGACUUAUAUUUGGUGAUCACAAUUCAGUCCCACCCAACCUUCAGAAAGAACACUUCUGUUUCUCCUCUCCCACAGAACUGCUCUUCUACUGUUUGAAGGUGGUGAUCUUUUUGAUUCUUGCUGCAGGAAAAGGCAUGGCUAACAGAAACUUCCUCUUUCUCUGGAAAGCAAUCUUCCUGUUUGAACCUAGCUGUACUAUUCUUAAAUCAAGAAGAAAUAGUGGGCAACAAUUCUCAAAGUCAAGAUGAAAAGCAAACUCUCUAAAUCAGAAUGGUCUGGAGAGUGACUGCAGACCCACCUCCCCUACCGUCUUCACGCUUCUUUCCCAACCGGCCGUCCCUUACCCUUCCCAACCUUCACCUCACCUGGUGUUCUGCACUUGUUCCCUCUGCGUAUGCUGGGCACACGGGAGUGUGACCACCUGCGGUGUUUAUCUGCCUAUAUUCCACCACUGUUCAGGUUUAUAUGAUCAUUUUCAUAAAUGUCUAGAAGAGACGUUUUACCUUGUCUUAUUUUACAUCAUUAGAGCCAAAAAUCUUGCUCAUAAUUGAUGCUUAAAAAUAUAUUAUUAAAACAAAAUGAGCACAUGUUUAUGCCAGUCAUUUGUAUCUCCUGCUUCUACCUCAAGGGAGAAGAGGUUCUCUUUCUAUCCCAUUCUGCCCUUCUUCAGUUCUCUGGAGCUGAGGCCUCUUUGAUUCUAUUUCACUGAUCUUCAGUGAAAUCGCUUUUAAAUGUGUUAACAGAGUCAAGUUACUUUCAUUUGUUUCUUCUGGUAGAACAAUGGUAAUUUUCACAUGGCUAUCCUGACCCUAAAAUGUAACCUCAACUUGCUCUCCCAUUUCCUUAUAAAAUGGCAAAGUAGACAGUUUAACAACCACAGAGCAGAAGUUAGGUAUUACUGCAAAACUUAAAACACAUAUUUUGUUUAUCAUCUUCAGAUGGUAUUACUUUUUUAUUUUAAAAAUUAAAAAACUGACAAAAUAAUAAUGAAGACAAAAUCAAAACAACAAAAAAUUAUUUCUUGGAGAAAUUUUCAGGGAAAUUUUAACUAAAGCAAUUGCAAAAAUUUCUAACACAUCAAAAUUCUUUCCAUUUAGUAAUAGCUAGCUUUGCUGACUUAUAAGUGGAAAAAAAUACUGGGCCUUUCCAAGAUUUUCUUGAAUUUUGGAGUUUUUAAAAGGAAAUCAUGGUAUCUGUCAUGGAAUUGUUGGGAAUAAUAGGCAUAACCUGUGACUCAGUAAUCCAAAAUUUCCUUCAUAAUCCCCAAAUUGGGUGAGUAUUAUUUCAAGAAACCUAGAUUUGGCAAGGCUUGCCUCUUGUUAAAAUCAUAUUGGCUUAUGGAUUAAUUCUUCCUUGUCCUUCCUUUUCCAAAAGUGUCUUGAACUGGUUUUAAAAUAUAUAUACUUAAAAAGUAGCAAAUUGGGAAAAUUGGAAACAAAUAAAACAUUUAUAUUACUGUAUUAAAUGUAAUGCUAAAUACAGUUUCAUCAAUUGAGUAUCACUUGGUUUUUACAAAAGAUGUUAAAAGUAGCUUUUCUGGAUAGUGGAAUAAUAGAUUAAGGUUUUGGUAUCUCCCUUUCCCUUCUUUUUACUGUUUUGUACUUUAUAACUUUUUUAGAAUGAGCAUGUAUUAGAUUCAUGAUCAUAAAAGUAAUUUAAUUUGGCCUUGGUAGUCAAGAUAAGAAAGGAAAAUUAGUCACUAAUAUCAUUAGAAUGAGAAAAAAGGAAGUCUAUCAGUUCCUUUAAGAAAAUAACUGUCUAGAACUGGUUUUCCCCUGGAUGGCUGAAAAGUAUAAUGUACUUUGACUUCAAUAUAAUUUCUUAACAAUAGCUAAAAACGCUUCCUAUAUUGUUGACCCCCAAAAGCAGUAGGUGCAAAUGAUUCUGUAAUGGGCUAAGAUUAUGUGAUUCUAGAAUGGAUGUUAGGUGGAUGUAUUUUAUUUCCUUGGUCAAUAAAUCCUGAGAAUUACUGUGAGAUGAGUGAGCCCAGUGGAGUACAAGGCCCAGAAAAUGGGGGUGGCGUGACAUCACCAAGUUGGAGGAAGUGCUCAGAACUGGUUCUCAUCUCUUGGAGAAUCUGUGGGUGACAAAAUGUGUGUUUAAAGUUUUGCAAUAAUGUUGUAUAAACCUUCAGAAUUGCUGCUGCAUCUGGCCUGGAUGGUUGAUUUCCCCAUUUUUAUGCAGUUUAAACUAUGGGCAUAUUGUAGUUACAGAAGAAGACAGGGAUCAGGUAGAAGAAGUGAAAUGAAUCUCACUCUGACUUUGUUAUGUGCAAUGGUACUCACGGGUAAAGUAGUAAAGUGCUGUUAGUCAAGACGGUCACUCUUAGCGGUAACAGCAAUUAUUGCAAAACUGUCUGCCGUGUACCUUGACUCUCCAGUGAACUGCCUUCUCCAAGCGAUUACCUGAUGAAUGCUGCUCAUUUGAGACUCAUGCUUCUCUUUUGACUGCCGUAAACACUGGCAGAAACACCUGUGUAAUAAAGAAAUGCAAUGUUACCUUCUAACAACGGUAUGCGAGACAAUUAUAUAUUUAUUCAGCAAAAUAUCUAAUGGAAACUUCAUCUAAUGACACCAGGAACUCUAAGUCAAUCUCUUUGUUUAAUAAAUCAAGCCAAACAUGGGCCCCAAACUUA